AUUACUUUGGCAGAUUAGUGUAAGAGAUUUAGAAUCUUUAAAAGUAGAUUUUCUACAGGUAAUAC
rnacentral:tRNA from 1 species